UACGAAGGGGGCUAGCGUUGCUCGGAUUGACUGGGCGUAAAGGGCGCGUAGGCGGUUUGUACAGUCAGACGUGAAAUUCCUGGGCUCAACCUGGGGGCUGCGUUUGAUACGUGCAGACUCGAGUUCGGAAGAGGGUCGUGGAAUUCCCAGUGUAGAGGUGAAAUUCGUAGAUAUUGGGAAGAACACCGGUGGCGAAGGCGGCGACCUGGUCCGAUACUGACGCUGAGGCGCGAAAGCGUGGGGAGCAAACAGG
rnacentral:rRNA from 1 species